rnacentral:rRNA from 1 species
UGGGGAAUAUUGGACAAUGGGCGAAAGCCUGAUCCAGCCAUGCCGCGUGUGUGAAGAAGGUCUUCGGAUUGUAAAGCACUUUAAGUUGGGAGGAAGGGCAGUAAGCGAAUACCUUGCUGUUUUGACGUUACUCGCAGAAUAAGCACCGGCUAACUCUGUGCCAGCAGCCGCGGUAAUACAGAGGGUGCGAGCGUUAAUCGGAUUUACUGGGCGUAAAGCGUGCGUAGGCGGCUAAUUGAGUCGGAUGUGAAAUCCCCGAGCUUAACUUGGGAAUUGCAUUCGAUACUGAUUAGCUAGAGUGUGGGAGAGGAUGGUAGAAUUCCAGGUGUAGCGGUGAAAUGCGUAGAGAUCUGGAGGAAUACCGAUGGCGAAGGCAGCCAUCUGGCCUAACACUGACGCUGAGGUACGAAAGCAUGGGGAGCAAACAGG